rnacentral:misc_RNA from 1 species
GUGAUCUUGGCGCAAUUUUGCGCGUUUUCAGGAGCUUGGCCUGUCGAAUUCAUCGCAGCGUUGCGGGAAUGACACGGGCUUUUACCCGAUGGAACUCCGCCGGGCGACCACCGGUUGGCUGCUGAUUGGCUGGNCAGAAUACCCUUGAGGCCCGCAUAUAUCGACCCGGCCGCUGUGGACAAGAUGCCCAGCAGCGGUCCAGCCGUGCGCAUCAAUUCCUGAAUAAUUCUUGCCCGGCGCCGGAGUUGCUCCUCCCCGACAUACGGCCCGAGCAGCCGCGCGAC